ACUGCGACAGAGACGCUCUCAGAGACGGACGAGUCAGACUUCAGGUGUCCGCAGUCACAGCUGAAGACUCUGGAAACUACAGGUGUGAUCUGGCUGCUGCUUACGACAAAACCACGAGGCGGUGGGAGCUGGAGGCCUCUGAGGAGUUUGUCUUGAGUGUAAACCAAAAGAACGUCAACACACCUGGCCGGACAACUACUCCAG